rnacentral:rRNA from 1 species
UACGAAGGGGGCUAGCGUUGCUCGGAAUUACUGGGCGUAAAGGGCGCGUAGGCGGCACUGUUAGUCAGGCGUGAAAUUCCUGGGCUCAACCUGGGGGCUGCGUUUGAUACGUGCGGACUUGAGUGCGGAAGAGGGUCGUGGAAUUCCCAGUGUAGAGGUGAAAUUCGUAGAUAUUGGGAAGAACACCGGUGGCGAAGGCGGCGACCUGGUCCGAUACUGACGCUGAGGCGCGAAAGCGUGGGGAGCAAACAGG